GAUUCGAGGUCAAUUAGGUUAAAAUGUUCCAAACCUUGGAAAAGAGAAGUUUGCUUUAAGUUCUUACUACUUCAAAUCCCACAAAAUGAUAGAUAGAUCAUUGUAAAAAGUUUCCCUGCGUUAUAGUCGUGCAUUUCUUGUAGUUAAUAGUAUUACAGAUUUCCACUAAAGGGAAUGUCCAUAAUUCCACAUUGUAAAAUUUUUUUUCCUGUUUGGUCAAUGAACAGUAUCACUGAAAGAAAAAUCUGAAUUACAAAAAUCCUGAUACGCUUGGAAUAAAAUGACUCAUCUAACAGAAAAUCCUGAAGAUUUCGGAAACUGAACACCUCAAGUUUACAUCAUCUAGCUAGCACGGAAGCCAGCAUAAAUUUAUUUAUCUGAAUAUAAAAUACAGUUCUGUUUACUUUAACUCCUGCAUGGAGCUAGAUAUCUAGCUGCAAUGAAUGACAUUUUUAUCCUAUUACUUUUGGCGAUUGCGAUAAUAGAGAAGGUCAAGGAUUUUGAAGGGUAGCGCUAGCAGUGCCUUGCAGGUUGCGGUGCUAGAUUUAUGAUCAACCAUCCCAGGCCGCCAGCUGAGAACUAUUAAUUGAAAUCUGACAGUCUCAGUGGUGGAUGCAAAUUGAUGAGGGAUCGUUAUCUAUAAUAAAUUCUGUUAACAAUUACCUGCUCCAGUACUGCAGAC
rnacentral:misc_RNA from 1 species